rfam:Brassica rapa chromosome A3, whole genome shotgun sequence.
ACGACCUUACUUGAACGGGAUCUGUUCUAUAGGCUCGUACCUCUGUGUCUUUAAUUUCUAAGGAGACAGACCCAAAACCCUGGUGGAUGAACCAUGACCAUGCGACCGGAGCCUGUUUGAUGGUCACCACUCUCUUAAAGUUUCGGAGCUGUAGAGGAUCGUUACUUGGCUGGGUCACUUACUUGUCGAGGUGGUUGCAUGGCGUUCUGAGAGGUU